AUCCAGACUCACAGAGGCUCCCCUUAACCCAGUACAACCAGUUAUCGCCUCUCCAGAUUUUCAAGUUCCUUCUGUUGGUGCCUUUUACCUAAGUCAGCAUGUUUCAAACUUUCAGAAAAGAAAAGGAAAAAAAAAAAAAAACCUUAGAAAAUAAAAACCACUACUCCACCCAAAUGAUAAAAAUCUCUUCAAUUCUCCAAGCACAACAUCUUAGUCUCCUCUUAACUCAGCACUGAGCGAGAAGUUGAUUCCUUUGGGUUCUGGGGAAUGGCGGGCUCUGCCAGUCCCCACCUCACCAGCCUAAUAGUUUUUCCAGACUGACUCCUGCUUGGUGUUGCGGGACAGCCUGGAAGCCGACUCCUGGUCCCAUUCAUUGCUCUCGGUCUUCUAAGGUCAGUCACUUGAGGGGGUGUCCCUCCUCCCUGCUCCCGGCCCCACUUCCCGCUUCCAGAAGGAGCAGGCAAUCAACACUCCUGAAGUCUGACUCGAAACCCAGACCCUCGGCCACCCCUCUGGGCUGCAUUUUGCAACUCAGACCCAGGCGCGAGGUGUGUGGGGUGACGCGAGGGAGGGGGGGUGGUGGAUUUGGCAGGGCGGUCGCCGGGGCCGUGGGCUCAGCGCCGGCCACCGAAGGAGAAGGGGCUGUGCAGGGCGCGGGACCCUCUUUGGGAAACCGUGGAGCGCGCCCUGCCCCCGGAGUCGGCGCACGCCGGGGCGAGGAGAGCCGGGGCCGGGGGCUGGGGCUGGGGGGGCGGCGCGGAGCGGGGCCUCAGAGAGACCCCCCUGCCGGCUGAGCGCCGAGGCCCGCCCGUCAGUCCCGGGGAGCCGGCAGCUCCCGAGCGCCGAGAGCCGGCAACGCAAAUACCAAGAGGAAGGGAAACCAGCCCGCGCUGACAUGUAAACAGGGGAUUCCAUCUGGAGGAGCCCGCUCAGACAGACCCCCAGACACACUCACUUGCACCCCGAUCCGCCUGCAACCCAUCCACUUGCCCGCCCCAGGGCCCUCCAGGCGGGGACCCGAGCUGGUGGCGGCUGCAUCUCCCGCCCCCGUCGCCUUCGGCCUCGGGGUCCAACCCCUCGCACUUCACCUGGACCAGAUGGCCCAAGUCCCAGCGUUCGGCCAGAGCCGCCUAUGCAAUGCUACUCCAAGCCCCAAGAAACCUACGCUACCGGGGGACGUUCCCUCCACACUGGUCAACAGGUCUGCAGAGCGCAACACUCAAGAUCGCGGCACCGUCAUCCCCACCCAGCCGUGAGGCCAGCAGACUUUUGGCCCGCCUUGUCGGCCCCCGCCACCCGGAGACCUCCCCCGUCUUUCUGCAGGGCCGCCGCCGAACCCUCCAGUUGGGGCAGCCUCAGGAGUCCGGGGCGCAGCGAGGAGACAUCCCCCCCACCCCACUCCUCCCCCAGGCGCUCUCGGCCUGACUCCCUUCUCCCCAACCUCCCAAACAGGUUACCUUGUCCACGCUCUCCAGACCACGCUUUGGACUUUUUCACUUUUAUUUAAGAGUCCACCCGGGGAAGGAGGAAAAAAAAAAUCCAGAGGAGAUCCGAGUCAAUUGGAAAGAAAAAAAAAAUUCAAAAGGGUGUCCACAGCGGCGAAAAAGCCCAGACUCUGCCGACCUUCAAACGACAACAGGGCUUUCAGGAGGGUGCGGGGAGACCGCUUCCCACCCGAACCUGGCCAGAAACCCGGCACCCCCAGCCACAUCGGCCCUCUUUCGGGCAGAAGGGAUUCCAACUCCACCACCCGGAGGCCCCCUUCCGGGUCCUGGGCAAACACUGAGGUUGCUAAUGGCCACCCCACCGGAGCCACUGCUCCCCCUUCCCGAAGCACUCCUCCAAGUGCUUGAGAAGGCUCCUCUAUGGCAAAAAUGUUGUGUAGGUCUCUCUUCCCAACUUCUAUUGUGCCUGGCAAAGAUCCCGUUACCUUCACUGCACUGAUCAGUACAGUCACCCCAGUAAGCCUAGCACCCCUAAUUCCUUGCAGCAGCAGCUGUCUCUCCCAUUGGGAGUUGCUCAAUAUGCAACUAGAUUAAACUGAGGACUUGCCCUCCUGUUUUCACCGUGGA